GACAGUUAGACUUACAGGUUAUGUCGUUGUCUUUUGUUUGAAUUGUUUAUGUGUCCGCUGUGCGGGGAAAUGAUAAUACAAGCGGAACUACGUAGCUAAUACUGUUGUAACGGGGAUCCUUAUUGUAGCAACACACCUUUGGAGGGAAGGCAAUCCUGCGCUGCGUUAGCUAAGUUUUCAUGUCAUCGGGUGUAGUUCAUAAUGGUUGAAGAGUGUAUGUUAGGAUGAAGUGUGAAUUCAUGCCAGGAAUAAUAAGUGUGAAGUUUAAUUUCCUCCCUUCUGUAAUAAGCAGCCAAUGAGUUCUCACGGAAGGUGAUAAUUCUGACUAAAACUACAGAAUAAAGCCGCCAGUUAAAAUCAA